rnacentral:rRNA from 1 species
AUUGAACGCUGGCGGCAGGCCUAACACAUGCAAGUCGAACGAGUGGCGGACGGGUGAGUAAUGUAUGGGAAACUGCCUGAUGGAGUGGGAUAACUACUGGAAACGGUCGCUAAUACCGACUAACAUCAGAUGUGCCCAGAUGGGAUUAGCUUGUUGUUGGGGUAACGGCUCACCAAGGCGACGAUCCCUAGCUGGGUGUAGAGGAUGACCAGCAACACUGGAACUGAGAACCGUUCCAGACUCCGACGGAAGGCAUCAUUGGGGAAUAUUGCACAAUGGGCGCAAGCCUUAUGCAGCCAUGCCGCUUGUAUGAAUAAGGCCUUCGGGUUUUAAAGUACGUUCAGCGGGGAGGCGUUACCCGCAGAAGAAGCACCGGCUAACUCCGUGCCAGCAGCCGCGGUAAUUC